CUCUCCCUGAUUUGUCUGGCACAGGAAGAUUAACGUGUGCAAAAUUUGGUCCUGAUGCGAAAUACAUAGCAGUUGGAUCAAUGGAUCGCAACCUCCGUAUAUUUGGCCUGCCUGGGGAUGAAGGUCAAGCGGAGUAAUGAAACAUCUUCAAUUGCUUGAUAUUGUAAGUGGGCUGUUGAUGUUCCUUGCGGUUGCUUUUACUGCUUCUGUUGGGCUGUACUGUUUUGGCUGAUGACACAGAUGGUAGAACUUGAUUUCUCAUCAAUUGUGCAGAGUUGGCUCUUUACCCAAUUUUCUAUUAAUGGAGCCAUGUUCCUAGGUGCAGGUCACCUGAGAUUGAAGAAGUGAAAUUGAAAUAGCUAGUCAGUCUUUUUGUAUUAAAUUGUCAUUGGAACUUCCAUAACAUAGAGAGUUAGAGCUUGCAUUUAAUCUACAAAUGAGAUUUUACUUACUGGGAGAAUGCUUGCUACUUCAGUUCAUAUACUUCCAGAUUU
rnacentral:misc_RNA from 1 species